AAACAAGGGGACCGAGGUCUCGCUCGGUGCGGAUCUGUGACACCCGUCUCACCGUUCACCUUGGAAAACGCAUGAAAGAUUCACCCAUGGGUGCAGGAGGUCUCUGACCCAGGGGGAAAGGAAGAGCAAAGCUGGGGGAGAGCAAACAACACAAAGAUAUCCAUAUGCUGCACCUAGCAGCCUGA